rnacentral:tRNA from 1 species
GAGUGUAGUUUAAAUAAAUCCUAGUAUGUGACACUAGAGAUGAAGACUAGCUAUCUUCUGCUCACC